AUUGAACGCUGGCGGCAGGCCUAACACAUGCAAGUCGAGCGAGCUGCGGACUGGUGAGUAAUGUAUGGACAUCUGCCCGAUAUCCGUUUAUAACUACUGGAAACCGUGGCUAAUACCGCAUACUAUCUGAUGAAGCCAUAUGGGAUUAGCUAGUAGGUGGGGUAAAGGCUCACCUAGGCGACGAUGUCUAGCUGGUCUGAGAGGAUGAUCAGCCACACUGGGACGGAGACACGGCCCAGACUCCUACGGGAGGCAGCAGUGGGGAAUAUUGGACAAUGGGCGCAAGCCUGAGGGAGAAAGGCCGCGGGUAUGAAGAAGGGUUUAGGGUUGGAAAAUACUUUCAGUAGGGAGGCGUUACCCGACGAGAAAGCACCGGCUAACUCCGUGCCAGCAGCCGCGGUAAUAC
rnacentral:rRNA from 1 species